CUGCUUUGUCGGGUCUCUGUGGGGAUGCUGCCUUACGAAGGAGCAGGCUUCCAACAAUGAACAGCAUCACUGAAAACAGUCCUGGCAUGGGACAUUGGAGCCUGGAGUUUGGAUGAACAUGGAUUGACUACAGUCUUCUAAUAGAAUUGCAAGAGAAAGGGAUUGUGAAAAAGCCUCAUUUGGAUGAAUUACAAGGGGCGUGAGAAGCUGGAUGUAUUACUUUGUGGGGAAUUGAAAACUUCACGGCGUGAAGCUGCUAGUACAGCUGUUCUGUGAGCCCAAGAAAGACCUCAGAAGACACUGAAAUUGACUCUAAAGUUUAUGUAACAGCCAAAGGG
rnacentral:lncRNA from 1 species